rnacentral:lncRNA from 1 species
AGGCAUCUGACUUCUCUUGAUCUUGAGCAAUAUUGUCACGGAGCUGUCAAAAUUAGUGAGAGUUAAAGUAAAAAUAAAAGGUACGUUAGUGAGACAUGUGGGUCAUGGACAAUUACUCUAUCCCUUAUAUAGCACUCAUUGUCUCGCUGACAUGUGGGUCAAGGACACAAUUGUUAGUGAGACAUAAGUAGCAUAUAAUAAUAGAUUAAGAAAUAAUUUCAGGGUCUACGGAUGUCAGGUGAACAUGCAAAAGCUGGUUCUCACAACUUUGAAUGGCACAUAGAAACAAUAACUAGUAUCUAACUUGAUGUAUAUACUCCCUCCAUCCCCAAAUACAAGGGAUUCUAGGUUAUUUGAGGUAAAUUAAUUAUAGAGAAAAAAGACAAAAUGCCUCCCAUUAAAUAAGGAUAUGUAUGGAGUGGGGGAGUGGUUCGUAGUAAGAUGGGGAGAAGUUUGAAUGGGAGGUGAUUGAUGUGAAAAGUAAUACCAAAUGUGUUACAAUGGUGUCUGCUGUCAAAUUACUUCAUUAAUUGCCAAAUAUUUACAUUGUUUCUGCAUUCUUCACCAAUAACAUCAUUAAAGUCAGCAGGACACCAUGUUGAUAAAUCAGACAUCUUAUGACAAAUAAUUAAAGGUAAAAUAUGCUGAUUAGCCAUAUAUUCUGGCACAAAUGCAGGACAGAACGAUACAAUCCCUUCAAUU